GACGAACGCUGGCGGCGUGCCUAAUACAUGCAAGUAGAACGCUGAAGAGAGGAGCUUGCUCUUCUUGGAUGAGUUGCGAACGGGUGAGUAACGCGUAGGUAACCUGCCUUGUAGCGGGGGAUAACUAUUGGAAACGAUAGCUAAUACCGCAUAACAAUGGAUGACACAUGUCAUUUAUUUGAAAGGGGCAAUCGCUCCACUACAAGAUGGACCUGCGUUGUAUUAGCUAGUAGGUGAGGUAACGGCUCACCUAGGCGACGAUACAUAGCCGACCUGAGAGGGUGAUCGGCCACACUGGGACUGAGACACGGCCCAGACUCCUACGGGAGGCAGCAGUAGGGAAUCUUCGGCAAUGGGGGCAACCCUGACCGAGCAACGCCGCGUGAGUGAAGAAGGUUUUCGGAUCGUAAAGCUCUGUUGUAAGUCAAGAACGAGUGUGAGAGUGGAAAGUUCACACUGUGACGGUAGCUUACCAGAAAGGGACGGCUAACUACGUGCCAGCAGCCGCGGUAAUACGUAGGUCCCGAGCGUUGUCCGGAUUUAUUGGGCGUAAAGCGAGCGCAGGCGGUUUGAUAAGUCUGAAGUUAAAGGCUGUGGCUCAACCAUAGUUCGCUUUGGAAACUGUCAAACUUGAGUGCAGAAGGGGAGAGUGGAAUUCCACGUGUAGCGGUGAAAUGCGUAGAUAUAUGGAGGAACACCGGUGGCGAAAGCGGCUCUCUGGUCUGUAACUGACGCUGAGGCUCGAAAGCGUGGGGAGCGAACGGGAUUAGAUACCCUGGUAGUCCACGCCGUAAACGAUGAGUGCUAGGUGUUGGAUCCUUUCCGGGAUUCAGUGCCGCAGCUAACGCAUUAAGCACUCCGCCUGGGGAGUACGACCGCAAGGUUGAAACUCAAAGGAAUUGACGGGGGCCCGCACAAGCGGUGGAGCAUGUGGUUUAAUUCGAAGCAACGCGAAGAACCUUACCAGGUCUUGACAUCCCGAUGCUAUUUCUAGAGAUAGAAAGUUACUUCGGUACAUCGGUGACAGGUGGUGCAUGGUUGUCGUCAGCUCGUGUCGUGAGAUGUUGGGUUAAGUCCCGCAACGAGCGCAACCCCUAUUGUUAGUUGCCAUCAUUCAGUUGGGCACUCUAGCGAGACUGCCGGUAAUAAACCGGAGGAAGGUGGGGAUGACGUCAAAUCAUCAUGCCCCUUAUGACCUGGGCUACACACGUGCUACAAUGGUUGGUACAACGAGUUGCGAGUCGGUGACGGCAAGCUAAUCUCUUAAAGCCAAUCUCAGUUCGGAUUGUAGGCUGCAACUCGCCUACAUGAAGUCGGAAUCGCUAGUAAUCGCGGAUCAGCACGCCGCGGUGAUACGUUCCCGGGCCU
rnacentral:rRNA from 1 species